rnacentral:rRNA from 1 species
GUGGGGAAUAUUGGACAAUGGGCGCAAGCCUGAUCCAGCCAUGCCGCGUGUGUGAAGAAGGUCUUCGGAUUGUAAAGCACUUUAAGUUGGGAGGAAGGGCAGUAAGUUAAUACCUUGCUGUUUUGACGUUACCGACAGAAUAAGCACCGGCUAACUUCGUGCCAGCAGCCGCGGUAAUACGAAGGGUGCAAGCGUUAAUCGGAAUUACUGGGCGUAAAGCGCGCGUAGGUGGUUGUGUAAGUUGGAGGUGAAAUCCCCGGGCUCAAACUGGGAACUGCCUCCAAAACUGCAUGACUAGAGUACGUUAGAGGGUAGUGGAAUUUCCUGUGUAGCGGUGAAAUGCGUAGAUAUAGGAAGGAACACCAGUGGCGAAGGCGACUACCUGGACUGAUACUGACACUGAGGUGCGAAAGCGUGGGGAGCAAACAGGAUUAGAUACCCCUGUAGUCC